AGAUUAAGUUAUUAAGGGCGCACGGUGGAUGCCUUGGCACUAGAAGCCGAUGAAGGACGUUACUAACGACGAUAUGCUUUGGGUAGCUGUAAGUAAGCGUUGAUCCAGAGAUUUCCGAAUGGGGGAACCCAGCAUGAGUUAUGUCAUGUUAUCGACAUGUGAAUUCAUAGCAUGUCAGAAGGCAGACCCGGAGAACUGAAACAUCUUAGUACCCGGAGGAAGAGAAAGAAAAAUCGAUUCCCUGAGUAGCGGCGAGCGAAACGGGAAGAGCCCAAACCAACAAGCUUGCUUGUUGGGGUUGUAGGACACUCUAUACGGAGUUACAAAAGAACAUGUUAGACGAAUCAUCUGGAAAGAUGAAUCAAAGAAGGUAAUAAUCCUGUAGUCGAAAACAUAUUCUCUCUUGAGUGGAUCCUGAGUACGACGGAGCACGUGAAAUUCCGUCGGAAUCUGGGAGAACCAUCUCCUAAGGCUAAAUACUCUCUAGUGACCGAUAGUGAACCAGUACCGUGAGAGAAAGGUGAAAAGUACCCCGGAAGGGGAGUGAAAGAGAACUUGAAACCGUGUGCUUACAAGUAGUCACAGCCCGUUAAUGGGUGAUGGCGUGCCUUUUGUAGAAUGAACCGGCGAGUUACGAUCUGAUGCAAGGUUAAGCAGCAAAUGUGGAGCCGCAGCGAAAGCGAGUCUGAAUAGGGCGUUGAGUAUUUGGUCGUAGACCCGAAACCAGGUGAUCUACCCUUGGUCAGGUUGAAGUUCAGGUAACACUGAAUGGAGGACCGAACCGACUUACGUUGAAAAGUGAGCGGAUGAACUGAGGGUAGCGGAGAAAUUCCAAUCGAACUUGGAGAUAGCUGGUUCACUCCGAAAUAGCUUUAGGGCUAGCCUCAAGUGAUGAUUAUUGGAGGUAGAGCACUGUUUGGACGAGGGGCCCCUCUCGGGUUACCGAAUUCAGACAAACUCCGAAUGCCAAUUAAUUUAACUUGGGAGUCAGAACAUGGGUGAUAAGGUCCGUGUUCGAAAGGGAAACAGCCCAGACCACCAGCUAAGGUCCCAAAAUAUAUGUUAAGUGGAAAAGGAUGUGGCGUUGCCCAGACAACUAGGAUGUUGGCUUAGAAGCAGCCAUCAUUUAAAGAGUGCGUAAUAGCUCACUAGUCGAGUGACACUGCGCCGAAAAUGUACCGGGGCUAAACAUAUUACCGAAGCUGUGGAUUGUCCUUUGGACAAUGGUAGGAGAGCGUUCUAAGGGCGUCGAAGCAUGAUCGCAAGGACAUGUGGAGCGCUUAGAAGUGAGAAUGCCGGUGUGAGUAGCGAAAGACGGGUGAGAAUCCCGUCCACCGAUUGACUAAGGUUUCCAGAGGAAGGCUCGUCCGCUCUUGGGUUAGUCGGGUCCUAAGCUGAGGCCGACAGGCGUAGGCGAUGGAUAACAGCUUGAUAUUCCUGUACCACCUAGUAUCGUUUUAAUCGAUGGGGGGACGCAGUAGGAUAGGCGAAGCGUGCUGUUGGAGUGCACGUCCAAGCAGUAAGGCUGAGUGUUAGGCAAAUCCGGCACUCAUAAGGCUGAGCUGUGAUGGUGAGAGGAAAUUGUUUCCUCGAGUCGUUGAUUUCACACUGCCGAGAAAAGCCUCUAGAUAGAUAACAGGUGCCCGUACCGCAAACCGACACACGUAGUCAAGAUGAGAAUUCUAAGGUGAGCGAGCGAACUCUCGUUAAGGAACUCGGCAAAAUGACCCCGUAACUUCGGGAGAAGGGGUGCUCUUUAGGGUUCACGCACAGAAGAGCCGCAGUGAAUAGGCCCAAGCGACUGUUCAUCAAAAACACAGGUCUCUGCUAAACCGUAAGGUGAUGUAUAGGGGCUGACGCCUGCCAGGUGCUGGAAGGUUAAGAGGAGUGGUUAGCUUCUGCGAAGCUACGAAUCGAAGCCCCAGUAAACGGCGGCCGUAACUAUAACGGUCCUAAGGUAGCGAAAUUCCUUGUCGGGUAAGUUCCGACCCGCACGAAAGGCGUAACGAUUUGGGCACUGUCUCAACGAGAGACUCGGUGAAAUCAUAGUACCUGUGAAGAUGCAGGUUACCCGCGACAGGACGGAAAGACCCCGUGGAGCUUUACUGUAGCCUGAUAUUGAAAUUCGGCACAGCUUGUACAGGAUAGGUAGGAGCCUUUGAAACGUGAGCGCUAGCUUACGUGGAGGCGUUGGUGGGAUACUACCCUAGCUGUGUUGGCUUUCUAACCCGCACCACUUAUCGUGGUGGGAGACAGUGUCAGGCGGGCAGUUUGACUGGGGCGGUCGCCUCCUAAAAGGUAACGGAGGCGCUCAAAGGUUCCCUCAGAAUGGUUGGAAAUCAUUCAUAGAGUGUAAAAGCAUAAGGGAGCUUGACUGCGAGACCUACAAGUCGAGCAGGGUCGAAAGACGGACUUAGUGAUCCGGUGGUUCCGCAUGGAAGGGCCAUCGCUCAACGGAUAAAAGCUACCCCGGGGAUAACAGGCUUAUCUCCCCCAAGAGUUCACAUCGACGGGGAGGUUUGGCACCUCGAUGUCGGCUCAUCGCAUCCUGGGGCUGUAGUCGGUCCCAAGGGUUGGGCUGUUCGCCCAUUAAAGCGGUACGCGAGCUGGGUUCAGAACGUCGUGAGACAGUUCGGUCCCUAUCCGUCGUGGGCGUAGGAAAUUUGAGAGGAGCUGUCCUUAGUACGAGAGGACCGGGAUGGACAUACCUCUGGUGUACCAGUUGUCGUGCCAACGGCAUAGCUGGGUAGCUAUGUAUGGACGGGAUAAGUGCUGAAAGCAUCUAAGCAUGAAGCCCCCCUCAAGAUGAGAUUUCCCAACUUCGGUUAUAAGAUCCCUCGAAGAUGACGAGGUUAAUAGGUUCGAGGUGGAAGCGUGGUGACACGUGGAGCUGACGAAUACUAAUCGAUCGAAGACUUAAUCAAUUU
rnacentral:rRNA from 1 species